rnacentral:rRNA from 1 species
ACGUGAGUAACCUGCCCUUCACUCUGGGAAACUCCGGGAAACCGGGGCUAAUACUGGAUACGACCCGAACAGGCAUCUGUAUCGGGUGGAAAGAUUUAUUGGUGGGGGAUGGACUCGCGGCCUAUCAGCUUGUUGGUGAGGUAAUGGCUCACCAAGGCGACGACGGGUAGCCGGCCUGAGAGGGCGAUCGGCCACACUGGGACUGAGACACGGCCCAGACUCCUACGGGAGGCAGCAGUGGGGAAUAUUGCACAAUGGGCGAAAGCCCGAUGCAGCGACGCCGCGUGAGGGAUGAAGGCCUUCGGGUUGUAAACCUCUUUCAGCAGGGAAGAAGCGCUUGGGUUUUCUCAGGCGUGACGGUACCUGCAGAAGAAGCACCGGCUAACUACGUGCCAGCAGCCGCGGUAAUACGUAGGGUGCAAGCGUUGUCCGGAAUUAUUGGGCGUAAAGAGCUUGUAGGCGGUUUGUCGCGUCUGCUGUGAAAUUUCGGGGCUCAACCCCGAACUUGCAGUGGGUACGGGCAGACUAGAGUGUGGUAGGGGAGACUGGAAUUCCUGGUGUAGCGGUGAAAUGCGCAGAUAUCAGGAGGAACACCGAUGGCGAAGGCAGGUCUCUGGGCCACUACUGACGCUGAGAAGCGAAAGCAUGGGGAGCGAACAGGAUUAGAUACCCUGGUAGUCCAUGCCGUAAACGUUGGGAACUAGGUGUGGGCC